GGGAGCAAUCCUGGUGGCGAGUGGCGAACGGGUGAGUAAUAUAUCGGAACGUGCCCAGUCGUGGGGGAUAACGCAGCGAAAGCUGUGCUAAUACCGCAUACGAUCUCUGGAUGAAAGCGGGGGACCGCAAGGCCUCGCGCGAUUGGAGCGGCCGAUAUCAGAUUAGCUAGUUGGUGGGGUAAAAGCUCACCAAGGCGACGAUCUGUAGCUGGUCUGAGAGGACGACCAGCCACACUGGAACUGAGACACGGUCCAGACUCCUACGGGAGGCAGCAGUGGGGAAUUUUGGACAAUGGGCGCAAGCCUGAUCCAGCAAUGCCGCGUGCAGGAUGAAGGCCUUCGGGUUGUAAACUGCUUUUGUACGGAGCGAAAAGGUUCUUUUUAAUACAAGGAACUCAUGACGGUACCGUAAGAAUAAGCACCGGCUAACUACGUGCCAGCAGCCGCGGUAAUACGUAGGGUGCGAGCGUUAAUCGGAAUUACUGGGCGUAAAGCGUGCGCAGGCGGUUUUGUAAGACAGAUGUGAAAUCCCCGGGCUUAACCUGGGACCUGCAUUUGUGACUGCAAGGCUAGAGUACGGUAGAGGGGGAUGGAAUUCCGCGUGUAGCAGUGAAAUGCGUAGAUAUGCGGAGGAACACCGAUGGCGAAGGCAAUCCCCUGGACCUGUACUGACGCUCAUGCACGAAAGCGUGGGGGAGCAAACAGGAUUAGAUACCCUGG
rnacentral:rRNA from 1 species